UCUUCCAGCAAGGGAACUGGGGGCAGGAGUGGGAAAAGGAGCGAGAACAAUGCUGAGGCUCAAGCUCAAGAGGAGGCCGGGCUGUGUGACUUGGGCUGCUGGCUGGAGAGCAGGAACCUGGUGGGGCAUGCUGCUCCCAUUAAUCAGCUGGUGCAGCCCUGGGUGUCAGCAGCAGGGCUGACAGGGGAGCCAGGAUCUAAUAAAACCCUGACAGGCUGAAAGGGAGACUGAGCCUCCUGCCUGUCUCUCUCUUCUUUGAAGUGUGGGGUAAAGGUUGGGGGAGAACAAAAAGACACUGAUGAUUGAUAACAACCUAAUAUCUUUGCACAGCUUUAUCAGGCUUUUUAACUAAUGACUGAGGCAAUAUCACCUCUACAAAAUCAAUCAUCAUGUCAUAGAAGUCUGAAACACUACAAAAUUAAGUGCCUGCCCCAGGGAUAUAGAGCAUGUGUCAUGUUUAAAGUGAACCUAAUUCCAUUGGGGGUCCCUGGAUGUUAUUUUUUACUUUUGUUUCCCUAGGAGAUAUUCAGAGAUGAAGAGACAUGGCAUGAGAAUCCAGAAUUUGUGCCUUUCCUUAAAGAAGUGAGUCAAGUAAAUUCAGCUGCCUUUAACUCAUCAGAGUUGAAUGCUUAUCACACAGAAGUGAAAUCAGUGACAUAAAUAAUAUAAUCACAAACACCUGUGAGGGAACAACCCUGCAGAAGUUGUACAGGAUGGACGAUACAACCUAGCUCCUUCCCAAGGUGCCUGGUAGUUCCUCAACAGAAAGGCAAACAAACCCCACGUAUUAGAUUCUCUGUCCUCAGAGGGAUCACUACAAACUGCCUCUUUUUUUCAACUUCAGCAGCAUGUGUCUGGGAAGCAUCUGUUUUGAGCCAGCAUCCUCAAAUGCAGACAAAGAGCAAGCAGGUGCCUGCAACACUGCAUACUCCUUGGUCGUCACUGGGAACCCUUCCCCUUCCCCAUGAGGCUGCACUGGGCCAUCGAUUGAUGGUGACAUCAAACAUGGGAUCAUGACUUCACUAUAGGAUCAAGAAGGAUUAGCUUUGCACUGCGGAAGUUAAGAUCUACUGCAAACAGAUAGCUGCAACAAUUGCAAAGAGAAUUUACUGCAGGGUACUUUAUUGGUCGUGUAAAUGUUCUUGUUUACUCCAGUAUGAAAAUCCCUUUAAAUCAACCAGCUGUUUGUAAAUUAAGCACAAAUGGAUUAGCUUUAAAACAAGCUCAUGGAUUUAAGAUGGGGUUUGCACUCACCCCAGUUCUGAGCACAUUUGGGCCUACAGGUUCCACCUUUGCUACGAAAGAAAGCAAGCAGGGCAUUGCAAUAGCCUUCCCUCACCAGAACCGGGAGGACGUUUACCUGCUUUAAACAGGUUACAGCAUGAGGGGAGCACGUAGACUGGUAAUUUUCAUUGAAAAUUCUGCUUUAAGUAUCUGAAAACCUUGCGGGUACAGUUAUUUAAUUCCAUGAGAUUCUCCUUCUUAAGGGAGGACGCUUAAAGUGAUGAAUUCCCUGGCCUUUCACCUUUAAGUCACUGAAACAGGACCAAACAGAGGGUCCCUAGCUUUGAAGGCCUCUCUGGAGACAUCUGUUUAUUAUUAACUGUCCCUAGCAAGAGCUAACUCUUGGUAGCUUGAUAUGCAGUCAACAAAGCAGCUUCCCCUAAGGAGAAAUACGGAGAUGGAUCUUCCCAGGACACAGCUGAGUCUGCUGGUGGGAUAUGCAAAGGCACGUUUUGAAGCUGCUUUGAGGACUCUUGCAGGUGGGAGAAGAGACAAAAGCCCUGUUAGAAGCAGCAAGGGAAGGCGCUGCCCCUCGGGAUCCACCUUUACAGAAAGCUCCAAACCGAUCCUGCUCCUCUGACAGGUGCCCAGGAGCAGGAACUCCACAGGCAGAUACUGCUGCACAGUAACAGCCUGGUUUGCUACGUACCUGCACUGGACGGUACAACUGUUUGGUUACUGACACACAUCUUUUCAUGGCAGUGGAUGCCGAGUCCUUUCAAGAAGUGAUAUUUAACUUUCUGAUGAGCAUUACAAUGAAUUUGAAUUCUGCUGGACUACAGCAUUCUCUGUACCUCCACAGAUGAUUUUUAUUUUGGAACUGUGCCAGAUUCGACAGCUUUUCUGCCUCAAGAAGCACUAAGUUCACUGCUGUGAGCAUGCCCCACUGUUGCACGGCCCUGCCCUGAGAGAACCACCAUCACAGGCUAUAAAGGUAAUUCGGAUUUCACGCCCAGUCACUCUCAUGCCUCUUUGUUGAGAUGCCAACUAGGGUACAAAAUUCUGUUCCACUCUCAGAGUUCUCUUUUACAUGGACACAU